GUGGGGAAUCUUGCGCAAUGGGCGAAAGCCUGACGCAGCCAUGCCGCGUGAAUGAUGAAGGUCUUAGGAUUGUAAAAUUCUUUCACCGGGGACGAUAAUGACGGUACCCGGAGAAGAAGCCCCGGCUAACUUCGUGCCAGCAGCCGCGGUAAUACGAAGGGGGCUAGCGUUGCUCGGAAUUACUGGGCGUAAAGGGCGCGUAGGCGGACAGUUUAGUCAGAGGUGAAAGCCCAGGGCUCAACCUUGGAAUUGCCUUUGAUACUGGCUGUCUUGAGUACGGGAGAGGUGAGUGGAACUCCGAGUGUAGAGGUGAAAUUCGUAGAUAUUAGGAAGAACACCAGUGGCGAAGGCGGCUCACUGGUCCGGUACUGACGCUGAGGUGCGAAAGCAUGGGGAGCAAACAGGAUUAGAUACCCCGGUAGUCC
rnacentral:rRNA from 1 species